rnacentral:rRNA from 1 species
ACUACAUGAAGCUGGAAUCGCUAGUAAUCGCGGAUCAGAAUGCCGCGGUGAAUACGUUCCCGGGUCUUGUACACACCGCCCGUCACACCAUGGGAGUCGGGAAUGCCCGAAGCCAGUGACCCAAGCGAGAGCAGGGAGCUGUCGAAGGCAGGCCGGAUAACUGGGGUGAAGUCGUAACAAGGUAUC